UACGGAGGGUGCAAGCGUUGUUCGGAAUCACUGGGCGUAAAGGGCGUGUAGGCGGUCCGCUAAGUCUGAUGUCGAAAGCCCGGGGCUCCACCCCCGGAAGGGCAUUGGAAACUGGCGGACUCGAGUCUCGGAGAGGAAGGUGGAAGUUCCGUGGUGAUAGCGGUGAAAUGCGUAGAUAUCGAGGAGGAAUACCGGUGGCGAAGGCGGCCUUCCUGGACGAUGACUGACGCUGGAGAACGGCGAAAGCGUGGGGAGCAAACAGG
rnacentral:rRNA from 1 species